CUCUCAUCCACAGAACCUCCAUCAGCUUCAUCAAUCGAUUAACACCACCAUCCUCCCACCUCAUCUCAUUCAACUACCAUCAUUAAACGCCAUUAAGCCUCUAAUUCCAUCUCUCUCAACCUUAUCUCCUUAUCAAGAACAGUAUACCUAGAAGCUAGGUUUGAGGGAGAUAGAGUUAGGUUACAGUUGGGGGAGCAUCGAUUCAAUGAAGUUGCAGAGAAAUUGAAGACAAAGAAAGUCAAUAGAAUAUCGUCGCCAGGUACUUGUGAAGCUGAGAACAAACCAAGGAAAAGGAGAAAAGGAGCAGAACGCAGUUGUUAGUUGGGCUAAAACCGUUUGGUGUCAUUAUUGAACCUCAUUAUACUCUAUAUCUGUAUGAAUGAUAAACCAUGAUAGCCUGAUACACUAACUGCCUUACUGAGCAUUAUUUCACACCUGAAAUUUUUGGUAUCCAUGAGCAUGAUUCUGUGAAAUCUGAACAUCAUAUCUAUGUGUUGAAAUUGUUAUUUGACUGAGAAUUUCGUAAUCUCGGCAGAACCUCUA